UGAAUACGAGAUGCUACGGCGUCGAAGCAGUCUAUGUCAUACUUCCAAGAAAAGCUUGCACUGUCAUAAACAAAUAAUGCCUGUACCAUAACCGACACAGGUGGGUAGGUAGAGUAUACUAAGGGGCGCGAGAUAACUCUCUCUAAGGAACUCGGCAAAAUGACUCCGUAACUUCGGGAGAAGGAGUGCCUUAUUUAUAAGGUUGCAAUAACAAGAUCCAAGCAACUGUUUACCAAAAACACAGGUCUCCGCUAAGUCGUAAGACGAUGUAUGGGGGCUGACGCCUGCCCAGUGCCAGAAGGUUAAAGAAGUUGGUUAGCAUCCGCGAAGCUGAUAACUGAAGCCCUGGUGAACGGCGGCCGUAACAAUAACGGUCCUAAGGUAGCGAAAUUCCUUGUCGGGUAAGUUCCGACCCGCACGAAAGGCGUAAUGAUUUGGAUACUGUCUCGGAGAGGGGCUCGGUGAAAUAGACUUGUCUGUGAAGAUGCGGACUACCUGCACCAGGACAGAAAGACCCUAUGAAGCUUUACUGUAACCUGAAAUUGAAAUUGGACUUUACUUGCGCAGUAUAGGUGGGAGGCGUUGAGAAUAUUCUUGCGGGAUUAUUGGAGCCAUCAGUGAGAUACCACUCUUGUAAUGUUAGAUUUCUAACUUUGUAUCAUUAUCUGGUCAAAGAACAGUUUCAGGCGGGCAGUUUGACUGGGGCGGUCGCCUCCUAAACGGUAACGGAGGCGCACAAAGGUUUCCUCUGAACGGGUAGAAAUCGUAUCUAGAGUGUAAAGGCAUAAGGAAGCUUGACUGUGAGACCUACAAGUCGAGCAGGGACGAAAGUCGGUCUUAGUGAUCUGACGGUGCUGAGUGGAAAGGCCGUCACUCAACGGAUAAAAGUUACUCUAAGGAUAACAGGCUGAUCUCCCCCAAGAGUUCACAUCGACGGGGAGGUUUGGCACCUCGAUGUCGGCUCAUCGCAUCCUGGGGCGGUAGUACGUCCCAAGGGUUGGGCUGUUCGCCCAUGAAAGCGGUACGCGAGCUGGGUUCAGAACGUCGUGAGACAGUUCGGUCCAUAUCCGGUGUAGGCGUUGGAAUAUUGAGAGGAGCCUUCUUUAGUACGAGAGGACCGAGAAGGACAUACCUCUGGUGUACCAGUUAUCGUGCCAACGGUAAACGCUGGGUAGCUAUGUGUGGAGUGGAUAACCGCUGAGAGCAUCUAAGUGGGAAGCCCACCUCAAGAUAAGUAUUCUC
rnacentral:rRNA from 1 species